AGGAUUAGAUACCCUUGUAGUCCACGCCGUAAACGAUGGAUGCUAGUUGUCAGGCAGCAUGCUGUUUGGUGACGCAGCUAACGCAUUAAGCAUCCCGCCUGGGGAGUACGGCCGCAAGGUUAAAACUCAAAGAAAUUGACGGGGGCCCGCACAAGCGGUGGAGCAUGUGGUUUAAUUCGAAGCAACGCGCAGAACCUUACCUACCCUUGACAUACCAAUCGCGGAUUACAGAGAUGUUUUCCU
rnacentral:rRNA from 1 species